ACAAGCGGCGGAGCAUGUGGAUUAAUUCGAUGCAACGCGAAGAACCUUACCUGGGCUUGACAUACACCAGAUCGGCGCAGAGAUGCGUUUUCCCUUGUGGUUGGUGUACAGGUGGUGCAUGGUUGUCGUCAGCUCGUGUCGUGAGAUGUUGGGUUAAGUCCCGCAACGAGCGCAACCCUUGUCUUAUGUUGCCAGCACGUGAUGGUGGGGACUCAUGAGAGACUGCCGGGGUUAACUCGGAGGAAGGUGGGGAUGACGUCAAAUCAUCAUGCCCCUUAUGUCCAGGGCUUCACACAUGCUACAAUGGUCGGUACAACGCGUGUGCGACACUGUGAGGUGAAGCUAAUCGCUCCAAAGCCGGUCGUAGUUCGGAUUGGGGUCUGCAACUCGACCCCAUGAAGUCGGAGUCGCUAGUAAUCGCAGAUCAGCAACGCUGCGGUGAAUACGUUCCCGGGCCUU
rnacentral:rRNA from 1 species